rnacentral:rRNA from 1 species
AACGACGCUGGCGGCAGGCUUAACACAUGCAAGUCGAACGGGCGUAGCAAUACGUCAGUGGCAGACGGGUGAGUAACACGUGGGAACCUUCCUAGGGGUACGGAACAACUCAGGGAAACUUGAGCUAAUACCGUAUACGUCCGUGAGGAGAAAGAUUUAUCGCCCUUAGACGGGCCCGCGUCGGAUUAGCUAGUUGGUGGGGUAACGGCCUACCAAGGCGACGAUCCGUAGCUGAUCUUAGAGGAUGAUCAGCCACACUGGGAUUGAGACACGGCCCAGACUCCUACGGGAGGCAGCAGUGGGGAAUCUUGGACAAUGGGCGCAAGCCUGAUCCAGCCAUGCCGCGUGAGUGAAGAAGGUCUUCGGAUUGUAAAGCUCUUUUGCCAGGGACGAUAAUGACGGUACCUGGAGAAUAAGCCCCGGCAAACUUCGUG